GAUAGAUACGAUCGAUAACGAUUGAACAUUGUUUGUAGAUUCAAUCAACUCAAUUUAUUAAUGAUGGAUACUCGAUCGUAACGAUUGAACAUUGUUUGUCGAUUCAAUCAACUCAAAUCAAUACAUACGUGUUAUGACACAGACUCGAUCAUAACGAUCGAUAACGAUUGAACGUCAUAUUUCGAAUCAAUCAACUCAAUGUAUUUUUAUGAAGACUCGAUCGUAACGAUCGAUACGAUCGAUAACGAUUGAACGUCAAAUGUCGAAUCAAUCAACUCAAUGUGUAAUGAUGAAGACUCGAUCGUAACGAUCGAUACGAUCGAUAACGAUUGAACGUCAAAUGUCGAAUCAAUCAACUCAAUGUGUUUUGAUGAAGACUCGAUCGUAACGAUCGAUACGAUCGAUAACGAUUGAACAUCAUAUGUCGAAUCAAUCAACUCAAUGUGUAAUGAUGAAGACUCGAUCGUAACGAUCGAUACGAUCGAUAACGAUUGAACGUCAAAUGUCGAAACAAUCAACUCAAUGUGUUUUGAUGAAGGCUCGAUCGUAACGAUCGAUACGAUCGAUAACGAUUGAACGUCAAAUGUCGAAUCAAUCAACUCAAUGUGUUUUCAUGCCGGAAGACUCGAUUGAACGCC
rnacentral:lncRNA from 1 species